UCCAGUUUAUCACCGGCAGUCUCCUUAGAGUUCUCAACUAAAUGUUAGCAACUAAGGAUGGGGGUUGCGCUCGUUACGGGACUUAACCCAACAUUUCACAACACGAGCUGACGACAGCCAUGCAGCACCUGUCACUCGGUUCCCGAAGGCACAGUCUCAUUACAAGACCUUCCGAGGAUGUCAAGAGUAGGUAAGGUUCUUCGCGUUGCAUCGAAUUAAACCACAUGCUCCACCGCUUGUGCGGGUCCCCGUCAAUUCAUUUGAGUUUUAACCUUGCGGCCGUACUCCCCAGGCGGUCAACUUAACGCGUUAGCUACGCCACUAAAACUCAAGGUUCCAACGGCUAGUUGACAUCGUUUACAGCGUGGACUAC
rnacentral:misc_RNA from 1 species